CAAUGCAACAUACUCAUCACC
rnacentral:miRNA from 1 species